rnacentral:rRNA from 1 species
AGAAUCAACGCUGGCGGCGUGCCUAACACAUGCAAGUCGAACGCGAAAGUCCCGAAAGGGGCAAGUAGAGUGGCAAACGGGUGAGUAACGCGUGGGUGACCUGCCUUCGAGCGGGGGAUAACGUUUCGAAAGGAACGCUAAUACCGCAUAACAUCCUGCCUUUGAAUAGGUGGAGAUCAAAGCCGGGGAUUCGUAAGAACCUGGCACUUGAAGAGGGGCCCGCGCCUGAUUAGCUAGUUGGUGGGUAAUGGCCUACCAAGGCAACGAUCAGUA